GACAGAGGGUGCAAACGUUGCUCGGAUUGACUGGGCGUAAAGCGCGUGUAGGUGGUCACGCCAGUCUGAUGUGAAAGCCCCGGGCUCAACCCGGGAAGUGCAUCGGAUACUACGUGGCUUGAGUUCUGUAGAGGAGAGCGGAAUUCCCGGUGUAGAGGUGAAAUUCGUAGAUAUCGGGAGGAACACCAGUGGCGAAGGCGGCUCUCUGGACAGGUACUGACACUGAGACGCGAAAGCGUGGGUAGCAAACAGGAUUAGAUACCCCCGUAGUCC
rnacentral:rRNA from 1 species